UGGGGAAUAUUGCACAAUGGAGGGAUCUCUGAUGCAGCAACGCCGCGUGCGGGAUGACGGCCUUCGGGUUGUAAACCGCUUUCAGCCAUGACGAAGCUUUUGUGACGGUAGUGGUAGAAGAAGCACCGGCUAACUACGUGCCAGCAGCCGCGGUGAUACGUAGGGUGCGAGCGUUGUCCGGCAUUAUUGGGCGUAAAGAGCUUGUAGGCGGUUUGUCGCGUCGAAAGUGUAAACUCAGUGCUUAACGCUGAGCCUGCUUUCGAUACGGGCUGACUAGAGGAGGGUAGGGGAGAAUGGAAUUCCCGGUGGAGCGGUGGAAUGCGCAGAUAUCGGGAGGAACACCAGUGGCGAAGGCGGUUCUCUGGACCUUUCCUGACGCUGAGAAGCGAAAGCGUGGGUAGCAAACAGG
rnacentral:rRNA from 1 species